rnacentral:rRNA from 1 species
UUGAUUGAGAGUUUGAUCCUGGCUCAGGACGAACGCUGGCGGCGCGCCUAAUGCAUGCAAGUCGAACGAACGGACCCCUUCGGGGGCGAGUUAGUGGCAGACGGCUGAGUAACGCGUAAGCAACCUACCCACUGGCGGGGGACAACCCGGAGAAAUCCGAGCUAAUACCGCAUGUGGUUGCCUGCCGAUAGCGGGUAACCAAAGGCUUCGGCCACCAGUGGAUGGGCUUGCGUCCCAUCAGGUAGUUGGUGAGGUAACGGCCCACCAAGCCGUCGACGGGUAGCCGGUGUGAGAGCACGACCGGCCAGAGGGGGACUGAGACACGGCCCCCACUCCUACGGGAGGCAGCAGCAGGGAAUCUUGCGCAAUGGGCGAAAGCCUGACGC